UGGCGAACGGGUGAGUAACGCGUGAGGAACCUGCCUCAAAGAGGGGGACAACAGUUGGAAACGACUGCUAAUACCGCAUAAGCCCACGGGUCGGCAUCGACCUGAGGGAAAAGGAGCAAUCCGCUUUGAGAUGGCCUCGCGUCCGAUUAGCUAGUUGGUGAGGUAACGGCCCACCAAGGCGACGAUCAGUAGCCGACCUGAGAGGGUGACCGGCCACAUUGGGACUGAGACACGGCCCAA
rnacentral:rRNA from 1 species